rnacentral:rRNA from 1 species
GAUGAACGCUGGCGGCGUGCCUAAUACAUGCAAGUCGAGCGAACAGACGAGGAGCUUGCUCCUCUGACGUUAGCGGCGGACGGGUGAGUAACACGUGGAUAACCUACCUAUAAGACUGGGAUAACUUCGGGAAACCGGAGCUAAUACCGGAUAACAUGUUGAACCUCAUGGUUCAACAGUGAAAGACGGUCUUGCUGUCACUUAUAGAUGGAUCCGCGCCGCAUUAGCUAGUUGGUAAGGUAACGGCUUACCAAGGCAACGAUGCGUAGCCGACCUGAGAGGGUGAUCGGCCACACUGGAACUGAGACACGGUCCAGACUCCUACGGGAGGCAGCAGUAGGGAAUCUUCCGCAAUGGGCGAAAGCCUGACGGAGCAACGCCGCGUGAGUGAAGAAGGUCUUCGGAUCGUAAAGCUCUGUUAUUAGGGAAGAACAAAUGUGUAAGUAACUAUGCACGUCUUGACGGUACCGGAUCAGAAAGCCACGGCUAACUACGUG